rnacentral:rRNA from 1 species
GACGAACGCUGGCGGCGUGCUUAACACAUGCAAGUCGAACGAAGUGGCGAACGGGUGAGUAACGCGGAAGCAACCUGCCCAUCAGAGGGGGACAACAGUUGGAAACGACGGCUAAUACCGCAGACGGAAGGAGGGGAUUGCGUCUGAUUAGUAAGUUGGAGGGGUAACGGCCCACCAAGGCGAUGAUCAGUAGCCGGUCUGCGAGGAUGAUCAGCCACAUGGGGACUGGGACACGGUCCAGAGUCCUACGGGAGGCAGCAGUGGGGAAUCUUCCGCGAUUGACGAACGUCUGACGGAGCAACGCCGCGUGAGUGAUGACGGCCUUCGGGUUGUAAAGCUCUGUUAAUCGGGACGCGGUACCGGAAUAGAAAGCCACGGCUAACUACGUGCCAGCAGCCGCGGUAAUAC